AUUGAACGCUGGCGGCAGGCCUAACACAUGCAAGUCGAACGGUAACAGGAAGCAGCUUGCUGCUUUGCUGACGAGUGGCGGACGGGUGAGUAAUGUCUGGGAAACUGCCUGAUGGAGGGGGAUAACUACUGGAAACGGUAGCUAAUACCGCAUAACGUCGCAAGACCAAAGAGGGGGACCUUAGGGCCUCUUGCCAUCGGAUGUUCCCAGAUGGGAUUAGCUAGUAGGUGGGGUAACGGCUCACCUAGGCGACGAUCCCUAGCUGGUCUGAGAGGAUGACCGGCCACACUGGAACUGAGACACGGUCCAGACUCCUACGGGAGGCAGCAGUGGGGAAUAUUGCACAAUGGGCGCAAGCCUGAUGGAGCCAUGCCGCGUGUAUGAAGAAGGCCUUCGGGUUGUAAAGUACUUUCAGCGGGGAGGAAGGGAGUAAAGUUAAUACCUUUGCUCAUUGACGUUACCCGCAGAAGAAGCACCGGCUAACUCCGUG
rnacentral:rRNA from 1 species